GGCCCCAUCGUCUAUCGGCUAGGACACUAGGUUCUCAUCCUAGUAAGCGGGGUUCGAUUCCCCGUGGGGUCA
rnacentral:tRNA from 1 species